rnacentral:rRNA from 1 species
UACGUAGGCAGCAAGCGUUAUUCGGAGUUACUGGGCGUAAAGAGUGUGUAGGCGGUUUUCUAAGUUUGGUGUGAAAUCUCCCGGCUUAACUGGGAGGGUGCGCCGAAGACUGGAAGGCUUGAGUAUGGGAGAGGAAAGCGGAAUUCCUGGUGUAGCGGUGAAAUGCGUAGAUAUCAGGAGGAACACCUGUGGUGUAGACGGCUUUCUGGACCAUCACUGACGCUGAGACACGAAAGCGUGGGUAGCAAACAGG